UGAUUCCCUAUCAACUUGAUUUCAUUCACAUGAGUACCCAAUUUGUCUGGACAUUUCUCUAUAAAUGAACAAUUAUGUCUUAAAUGUUCAGUUAAGAUGAGUACUGCCAGUAAUAUCCCAUGUUCAGUAAAAAUGAGUACUAUUAUUUGUUUUCCCGUUCAUGCCAUUAAUAAAUCUUGAGCACAUGGUGCCUGAAAUUCAGUCACAUUGCUCUCUGCUACAUCUCCCCCUGUACCCUGCAUCACCAUUAUUAACUACACCCUCUCCUUGCUCCUCCUUCAUCAGUCCACUCCUUCAGUUCUUCUUCCUGCACCACCGCCAACGGCUCCACCAACAGCAGCUUUCCUCGCCACUCGAAGUGCUUCUCCACCAAUGUAAGAUGGCAUCCCUGAUCCAUGGCUCAUCCAGCCGUUCUGCCGACCAAGUCAUUGAACAAGCUUAUGAAAAAGAGGCAAAAUAAAUGUCAUGUUCUUAAGUGUACAAAAAGCACAACUAUCAUUUAAUAAUGUUCCCACCACACCAUGUAUCUGUUGCUUGUAUUCCGGUAGUAUGUGGCCAUAAAGAUGUUUUUGAGAAAUUAAUGUGAAGAUCUGACUAUAGUAAA